GAUGAACGCUGGCGGCGUGCCUAAUACAUGCAAGUAGAACGCUGAAGGAAGGAGCUUGCUCUUUCCGGAUGAGUUGCGAACGGGUGAGUAACGCGUAGGUAACCUGCCUGUUAGCGGGGGAUAACUAUUGGAAACGAUAGCUAAUACCGCAUAACAGUAGAUGUUGCAUGAUAUCUACUUAAAAGGUGCAAUUGCACCACUACCAGAUGGACCUGCGUUGUAUUAGCUAGUUGGUGAGGUAACGGCUCAACAAGGCGACGAUACCGAGCCCACCUGAGAGGGUGAUCGGCCAAACUGGGACUGGGACACGGCCCAGACUCCUACGGGAGGCAGCAGUAGGGAAUCUUCGGCAAUGGACGGAAGUCUGGACGAGCAACGCCGGGUGAGUGAAGAAGGUUUUCGGAUCGUAAAGCUCUGUUGUAAGAGGAGAACGAGUGUGAGAGUGGAAAGUUCACACUGUGACGGUAUCUUACCAGAAAGGGACGGCUAACUACGUG
rnacentral:rRNA from 1 species